CAAUCAAAAGAGUUCCUGCUAUGAAGCUGGAAUUAAACAAGGCUAAUUUGGAAAAGAUAAUAGAAAAUGUUCAAAAGCCCAAGCCUCACAAUACUAUAAAAAGUCACUAAUUUGAUCACCCAUCAGUCCAUAUUGUGAUUCGUCAACUUGAAUUAAUUCAAAUCGCCAAAAUAGCAUCACAGAAACUCCAAAAUUCAUGAUUGCUUCCCUUCUUCUCCAACAAGCAUUGAUCUACUCCAUCGAUCAGUCUUAAAUCCAAAUCUAGUUUACGAAUCAAAUGUGAAACAAUGACAAGAGUUCCUACGUACGGCUAGUAAAAUUAUCGUAGACUAAACAAACAAACAAAAAACCAACAUUAUGCAUCUAAAUACCAC